CUGGCUUUAUAGAGUGAAAUUUUAUAUGUAGAAUAUGUGUGGCAUGUGUAGCAGCACUGCAAAAUUCUCCCUCCUGCCUCACCCAUUUACUUCAUGAAUCAACCCUGCCUUGAAAGGAUCAUCGCUAGGGUUGAGAUGGGAGUUCAGUCUCCAAGGCUCAUUCAAGCCUGGGCCUUU
ensembl:misc_RNA